GCUUACAGCCAUACUGCUCUGCCUUCAUCUGACCUGUUUAGUGCUUGAAUGUUAGACUGCUUGGGAAUACCAGGUGCUAUAAGCU
rnacentral:rRNA from 1 species